CUUGUUUGUUUUGUGUGUGUAAUAAAAAUAUAACCUUGAGCUCUCCAUAUUUACCAGCAGAGAGCCCAUGGGAUGAUAAAAGUCUGCAUUCUCAUCGCAUCAAGUCCAGCAAAGGCAUCUUCUUCAUUUAUUUCAGUCCUCAAAAAUUACUGAGUUAAUAUUUGGAGAGCGUGGUUACCGUAUCUCUCAGCCAACAAUGUGUCAGACACAUAGCCGUCAUCUCUUAUCACAAUGUGAGUCAACUUCUUGC